GAACGCAUAUUGCGCUCUCUGGUAUUCCGGAGAGCAUGCUUGUUUGAGUAUCAGUAAACACCUCAACUCCCCUUUCUUUUUUUGAAAUGGGAGCUGGACUUGAGUGAUCCCAACGCUUUUCUCACCGAAAAGUGGCGGGUUUCUUGUAAAGCAGGUGCCGCUGGAUUUUUCUCUGAGCUAAAAGCAUAUCUAUUUAGUCUGCCUAAAAAACAGAUUAUUACCUUUGCUGCAGCUAACAUAAAGGAGAUUAGUUCUUGUGCUGACUGAUGCAGGAUUCACAGAGACAGCUUCGGCUGGCCUUUGUAAACUCGAUCUCAAAUCAAGUAAGACUACCCGCUGAACUUAAG
rnacentral:misc_RNA from 1 species